AUAUUUUGAAUAAGAAGAGGACAUGCUGGCUAUCUAGAUUGAUGGGGACAAAUUUUUGUUGUCAUUGUGUUGCAAUGUUGCUGUCAUUUGUAUUAUGCAAUCCAUUCUGACAACAAAAUAUUGCUGAUUUACUAUGCGGCUAUAUAGAUUUACAUAAUAAAAUGCAAAUAUGGUCAGUUUUGGUUGAUUUGUUUAAAUAAUUUUGUUAUACGAGUCAGCCUGAGGUAUCAAAACUACUGAAAUUUUGUUGCGUGACAAUAUUUUGAAUAAAAAGAGGACAUGCUGGCUAUCUAGAUUGAUGGGAAUAAAUUUUUGUUGUCAUUGUAUUGCAAUGUUGCUGUCAUUUGUAUUAUACAAUCCAUCCUGACAUCAAAAUAUUGCUGAUUUACUAUGUGGCUAUAUAGAUAUACAUAAUAAUGUGCAAAUAUGGUCAGUUUUUGUUGAUGCGUUUAAAUAAUUUUGUUAUACUAGUCAGCCUUAGGUAUCAAAAUUACUGAAAAAUUGUUGCGAGACCAUAUUUUAAUUAAA